UCUAAUAUGGCAGAAUAGUGCAGUGGGUUUAAGCUCCACAAAUAAAGUUUCACACUUUUUUUAGAA
rnacentral:tRNA from 1 species